rnacentral:rRNA from 1 species
GACAAGAAAUAACAAUACGGGGCUUAAUGUCUUGUAAUUGGAAUGAUGGGAAUUUAAACCUCUUCCAGAGUAUCAAUUGGAGGGCAAGUCUGGUGCCAGCAGCCGCGGUAAUUCCAGCUCCAAUAGCGUAUAUUAAAAUUGUUGCAGUUAAAAAGCUCGUAGUUGAAUUUCUGCUGCAUUACAUAUCUCUUGUUUGAGUUUGUUUUUGUGGCUUAUUUCGGUUUGAUUUUUUUAUCUUUCCGGAUGAUUACUUUGAGAAAAUUAGAGUGCUCAAAGCAGGCUUUUGCCUUGAAUAGUUUAGCAUGGAAUAAUAAAGUAGGACUUUGGUUCUAUUUUGUUGGUUUUAGGUACCAAAGUAAUGGUUAAUAGGAACAGUUGGGGGCAUUCGUAUUUAACUGUCAGAGGUGAAAUUCUUAG